UACCCGGAGGAAGAGAAAGAAAAUUCGAUUCCCUUAGUAGCGGCGAGCGAAACGGGAAGAGCCCAAACCAACAAGCUUGCUUGUUGGGGUUGUAGGACACUCUAUACGGAGUUACAAAGGACGACAUUAGACGAAUCAUCUGGAAAGAUGAAUCAAAGAAGGUAAUAAUCCUGUAGUCGAAAAUGUUGUCUCUCUUGAGUGGAUCCUGAGUACGACGGAGCACGUGAAAUUCCGUCGGAAUCUGGGAGGACCAUCUCCUAAGGCUAAAUACUCUCUAGUGACCGAUAGUGAACCAGUACCGUGAGGGAAAGGUGAAAAGCACCCCGGAAGGGGAGUGAAAUAGAACCUGAAACCGUGUGCUUACAAGUAGUCAGAGCCCGUUAAUGGGUGAUGGCGUGCCUUUUGUAGAAUGAACCGGCGAGUUACGAUUUGAUGCAAGGUUAAGCAGUAAAUGUGGAGCCGUAGCGAAAGCGAGUCUGAAUAGGGCGUUUAGUAUUUGGUCGUAGACCCGAAACCAGGUGAUCUACCCUUGGUCAGGUUGAAGUUCAGGUAACACUGAAUGGAGGACCGAACCGACUUACGUUGAAAAGUGAGCGGAUGAACUGAGGGUAGCGGAGAAAUUCCAAUCGAACCUGGAGAUAGCUGGUUCUCUCCGAAAUAGCUUUAGGGCUAGCCUCAAGUGAUGAUUAUUGGAGGUAGAGCACUGUUUGGACGAGGGGCCCCUCUCGGGUUACCGAAUUCAGACAAACUCCGAAUGCCAAUUAAUUUAACUUGGGAGUCAGAACAUGGGUGAUAAGGUCCGUGUUCGAAAGGGAAACAGCCCAGACCACCAGCUAAGGUCCCAAAAUAUAUGUUAAGUGGAAAAGGAUGUGGCGUUGCCCAGACAACUAGGAUGUUGGCUUAGAAGCAGCCAUCAUUUAAAGAGUGCGUAAUAGCUCACUAGUCGAGUGACACUGCGCCGAAAAUGUACCGGGGCUAAACAUAUUACCGAAGCUGUGGAUUGUCCUUUGGACAAUGGUAGGAGAGCGUUCUAAGGGCGUUGAAGCAUGAUCGUAAGGACAUGUGGAGCGCUUAGAAGUGAGAAUGCCGGUGUGAGUAGCGAAAGACGGGUGAGAAUCCCGUCCACCGAUUGACUAAGGUUUCCAGAGGAAGGCUCGUCCGCUCUGGGUUAGUCGGGUCCUAAGCUGAGGCCGACAGGCGUAGGCGAUGGAUAACAGGUUGAUAUUCCUGUACCACCUAUAAUCGUUUUA
rnacentral:rRNA from 1 species